rnacentral:lncRNA from 1 species
GUACUUCCUAAAAAAGGCAAGCAAUGGACUGGUAAUAGGUAGGCCUGUUUUAGAGAGAUUGUGGUAUACUACAAUUCAUUAUUACAUGCAAAAUGUUUUUGCUUCGGAGCAGAACAUUUAUCUAUCUCUAUCUUCAUAUCUUUUUCUUCUCAGAGCUGGAGUGUGAUGCCUUGCUCCUAUUCAUGGAUCUUAACCUAUAAUUUUUGAACAAUCUAACUUAGUUAUUCAUUCAAUGGGAAAUCUGAAGUGGGGAUUACUUCGCCAAUAUCAUUAGCAAGUUUAUGAGGGAAAAGAAAGCGAUAUAACUUCCAAAAGAAAACGUAAGAAUAAAGUACAUAGAAUUGUAGCUGGGAAAGUAGGAACAUGAGAUGCACCAUGUUUCAGAAAAAUGGUUGAGGUUCCCUGAUCCUAGUAACAUGAGCUGAGAUUAUUUUGUCACGGACCCAUGGUCAUGGCUGUAUAUAAUUUUCACAAGCAACAAACCCUAUGUGACAACCUACUUUCGAUCAAAACGCUAUAUAAUCUAUAUAAUAGACAAAAAUGGAGCCUUCGAUAACUUAAAUACCUAUUUUUCCUACCAUAGUGUGAUGAGCUGUGAAACUGCACAUAUAGGGAUUUUCAUGGGACCAUUCAGGACUUUGAAAAAAGAUAUAAAAACUGCAUUCAGCUCCUCCAUCUAAGGCUACCUCAAUAAUAAACCAAUACUUCAUGAUAGAAUAAUCUGAAAAUCAUAUAUGAUAACAAUGCAAAAUAAUCUUGCAGCACCUCCUAAAACUGUAAAAGCCGUGAAAUUGGCAGUCAACUUACUAUCAACGGGAAACACCACACUACAAUAACAAUGCAAAAUAAUCUUGCAGCUCCUCCUAAAACUAUAAAAGCUGUGAAAUUGGCAGUCAACUUACUAUCAACGGGAAACACCACACUGCACUAUAUUUUUUCAGGAACAAGAUGCUAAUAUGCUUUCCCGUUCCCCACUUCAAGGAUGCACGCCGUCUCCCCAUUCUCCACCGCCAAGACGCCGGCGUGUCCCUGUUCUCCAUCGCCAGGACGCCCAACUCCUCCCCUAUCUCCACCACAAGGACGUUGGGUGCCUCUUCGUUAUCCAUCCUAAGCACCGCAUUGUGGUCGUCUAGCAAUGUAUUGUUGAGGCAACUGCUUCUCAUUGCCCCCUCUCUUAAUUUUUCGUAGCACACACCCCUUGUUAUUCUACACCUAGGAUGGUUGUUCUUGUAGAUUUUGCUGACCACCAUAUUCUACAGUAAUUAGUAUGGUUGCAGUCCAAUGGGUUGAUUUUCAGCAGACCAAUGUGUUGAUUGACUAAUUUUGUGCAUCAAAAACAGUAGGGCAGUGUUGAUGAAACAAUUUUGGUUAGUAAAAAACAGAGUGUGUGACAAUACUAUAAAAGCGCUAGUCUCCAAAGUCCACCAUGCCGCAAAAACAUUUAGCACCCAUAUAAAUAUGGAUUUGGGUUCAUAUAUACACAAAGCGCAGUAGUUAUUGUGAAGAAAGAAAAAGAAUGCUCCUACUAUCAAAAAUAUGUGCCAACAACAACACCAUCUAUUAGAGCUCGAAAACAUGAACAGUGAAGGAACCUAUACCUGUUCAUGGAGCUGUGUAUGAACCUCCGUUUGCAUAUGUAGAGCUUCUGCCAAGUUCCUAAGAAAAGGAGAAGGGGACAGAUGUAAAUUUGUAAGGUCAUGGUAUUUACCAUGCAUACAUUCCAGUGUAAUAAUUCAAAGAUAUUACUUUUUUUUGAACGGAGCACUUCCACUGCUACCUAGUCGUACCUUCUUAAUGUCUGAGGGGCCCUUCUUGUCUGCAUACAGUAUGCAUCAAAAUUCUGUAUAAAAAAGGACUGCUCAUGAAUAGAAAGAUCAUUGCCGCAAUUUGGAAUGACAUGUUCUAGUAGGAAUCCUAUAGAUAUACAAUGAGAGGAUUAGUUUGGCAGAAUCAAUACAAUUAUUAGUAAAAAAAUAGAGUCUGUAACAAUACUAUAAAAGCGCUAGUCUCCAAAGUCCACCAUGCCGCAAAAACAUUUAUCACCCAUUUAAAUAUGGAUUUGGAUUCAUAUAUACACAAAGCGCAACAAUUAUUGUGAAGCAAGAAAAAGAAUUCUCCUACUAUCAGAAAUAUAUGCCGACAAGGCGACAACAACACCAUCCUAUUAGAGCUCGAAAAUAGGAACAUAGAAGGCAACUAUAGCUGUUCAUGGAGCUGUGUAUGAACCUCCAUUCGCAUAUGUAGAGCUUCUGCCAAGUUCCUGAGAAAAGGAGAAGGGGACAGAUGUAAAUUUGCAAGGUCAUGGUAUUUAUCAUGCAUACAUUCUAGUGUAAUAAUUCAGAGACAUUACUUGUUUCUGAAUGGAGCACUUCCAUUGCUACCUAGUUGUAACUUCUUAAUGUUCGAGGAGGCCUUCUUUUCUGCAUAGAGUAUGCAUCAAAAUUCAGUAUAAAAAGGACUACUCAUGAGUAGAAAGAUCUUUGUCGCAAUUCGGAAUGACAUGUUCUAGUAGGAAUCCUAUAUAUACAAAGAGAGUAUUAGUUCAGCAGAAUCAAUAUGACUAUGCAACAAACUAUCAACCAGUGUACUAUAUCUCAAGAAUUUAUAGUGUAGCCACCAAACAAAGUGGUAAUCAAGGCAACAUCAAUCUAACAACAAUGGCUGACCAAUGAUGUUUUAUUCCUUCUGGUUUACUAAUUCAGAGGAACUGUAACAAAAAUCGCUCUUUGGUCAAUAUCAUCAACUGAUUCUUUGAACUCUAAAUUCCACUCUUAGCUAAAAUUAUUCUUCCUCUCUUCUAUGUCAGAUCUGCACACAUCAAGUUUAAAAAUCCAUAUAAUAGCAAAUUAAAAUAUGUGUGAGGAAGAAAUUAAGAUAGGGGGAGUGGAGCACCUAGUUCUCCGCCGGCUUGUAUUGCUCGAGCCGCCUGCAACAGGCACAUGUUGUCCUCCUUAUACUCCAGAUCCACGAGGCAGCCAUGGGAGGAGGGAUGAUCUCCUAGUUCCUCUCGCCUGCCCACACCGCCUGUUCACCUCGAGCUCCUUCACCCAUGGAAUAGCAUUCCUUCACUCAUGGUCAUACAUCUGGUUUGUAUCUCCACAAAACAAAUGGCAACUUGGUGAAGAUUUACAAUAUAAAGGCAUCAGAUGUCGGUGCAGGAAGCCUAUUAGAAUCAUAAAUUAUGUGAGUAUUGUAGGGCAUAUAGAAACUUCAUUCUGGCCCGCACAGUAACAACUCUAUCACACAACUUGUUUUUUAUGGAUUCAGUAAAAAGAUUACGGGAGAACUUAUUUUACAAAGCAGGAGAUCAUAAUAAUAGUGGUCAUUGACGAAACAUGUUAGAUAAUAACGAGAAUAAACGAGACAGGGAGACACGGAUUUUUACGUGGAAACCCUUGCGGGAGAAAACCACGAACGCACGAAGGCGCAAUCACUAUGAGGAGGAGUAUUACAAGCACGAGACGACAGACCGUCUGAGAUGCGACUACAUGGGGUAUAUAUGAGGGACACCACAUAGGAGUCCUUGUAGGACAAGUAAACGAGUUGUACUCGUACGCGUCGGUACCAAUGCAAAAGGCCCACACUGUAUGUACUACGUCUAGUCCAAUACGGUACUAGAAUUUGGAUCACAAUUUAACAAUCUCCACCUUGAGCCAAAUUCCCUCCAGUAGUCGAAGAAAGUGAAUAACUCCAUCCAAAUCAUCUUAAACACCUUGUGCGUCAAAGUCCAUAGGACUAGUGAGAAAUACCAACUAAGGCUGAGCAAAGCUCAAACUUAUUGGUCAGAACUAGCUUUGUCAUCAUAUCAGUAGGAUUAUCAUGAGUACUUAUCUUGCAUACCUUCAAAUCACCUUCAGCAACAACAUCUCGAAUAUAGUGAUAUAUGACAUCAAUGUGCUUUGUUCUCUCAUGAUACAUUGGAUUCUUUGUAAGAUAUAUAGCACUUUGACUGUCACUAAAUAUGGUAGGGCAAGAUGAGUCUCCACAAAGCUCAGUGCAUAAACCUCUCAACCAGAUAGCUUCUUUGCAUGCCUCAGAAAUAGCCAUAUACUCGGCAUAAGUAGUGGAACAAGCCACAAUAGAAUGCAAAGUUGCUCUCCAACUCACAGCACAACCACCAAUGGUGAAAACAUAACCUGUGAGUGAUCUUCUCUUAUCCAAAUCACCAGCAAAAUCAGAAUCAACAAAACCAACAAGUCCAUCUCUAGAUUUCCCAAACUGUAAAUAAGCAUUAGAAGUACCACGCAGGUAUAUGAAAAUCCACUGAACUGCUCUCCAAUGUUCUUUUCCAGGAUUAGCCAUGUAUCUACUGACAACACUCAAUGCAUAUGAUAAAUCCGGACGAGAACAAACCAUGGCAUACAUAAGUGAACCAACUGCACUCGAAUAGGGAACUCUAGACAUGUACUCAAUAUCUGCAUCUGACUUAGGACAUAAAGCUGAUGAUAAUUUGAAGUGUGCAGCUAACAGAGUACUCACCGGCUUGGCAUUAUGCAUAUUAAAAUGACGAAGAACUUUAUCAAUAUAUCCCUUCUGACUGAGAUACACUUUUCCAGAUUGUCUAUCUCUGGAUAUUUCCAUGCCAACUAUUUUCUUUGCUACACCCAAAUCCUUUAUCUCAAAUUCAUUACUCAAUUGCUUCUUUAGUUCAUCAAUAUCUUACAUACUCUUUGCAGCAAUUUGCAUAUCAUCAACAUAAAGGAGCAAAUAAAUAGUUGAACCUUUGACAGUUUUCAAAUAAACACAACUAUCAUAAUUAGACCUUUUGAAACCUUGAGAGAUCAUAAAGGUUUCAAAUCUCUUGUACCAUUGUCUCGGGGAUUGCUUCAAUCCAUAAAGAGAUUUCUUUAACUUACAGACAAACUUUUCUUUUCCAGGAAUAACAAAACCUUCAGGUUGUUCCAUAUAAAUAUCCUCUUCUAAUUCUCCAUGUAAGAAUGCAGUUUUAACAUCCAAUUGUUCAAGCUCAAGAUCAUGCAUGGCAACAAUACUGAGUAAAGUGCGAAUAGAGCUAUGCUUCACAACAGGAGAAAAGGCUUCGUUAUAGUCAAUACCUGGAAUCUGACUGUAACCUUUAGCAACUAACCUUGCUUUAUAUCUUGUCACAUCAUUAGGAGAAACACCUUCUUUCCUCUUGAAAACCCACUUGCAACGAAUAGGUUUCUUCUCUCUAGGUAAUCUUACUAAAUCCCAAGUGCCAUUCUUUUCAAGUGAUUCCAUCUCAUCAUGCAUAGCGGUCAUCCACUUAUUACCAUCAGUAGAAAUAAUAGCCUCGGAAUAUGAAGAAGGCUCAGCAUUACCUUCAAUUUCUUCUGCAACAGAUAAAGCAAAAGAAACAAUAUUGCACUCCUCAAUUAACCUGUCAGGUUUGUUAGUACCCCGCCUAACUCUGUCACGUGCAAGAUUCCAACUGGGUGGAACAAUAGGCUGAUUUGGAGUGGGAGUGACAUGAUCAUCAUUAACGACGGGUUCAUCAUGUGCAUCAACAAUUUCAUUAUGAGAUGUAUCAUCUGAAUCAAUAACAUGCUCCACCUGAACAGUAGGCUCCUGAACAAUAGGCUGUUGUUCACUCUCAACGGGAACAUUAGUAGAUGAAACAUCAUGUAACAUAGCAGAUUCAUUAAAGAUAACAUUUCUGCUAAUAACAACCUUCUGGGUUUCAGGAUUCCAUAAUUUAAAACCUUUAACACCAGACUUAUAACCAAGAAAGAUGCACUUAACAGCCCUAGGCUCCAAUUUUCCAUUAUCAACAUGGGCAUAAGCAGUGCAACCAAAAACUCUCAACUGUGAAUAAUCAGCAGGUGAACCAGACCAUACCUCAAUUGGAGUUUUCUUAUUAAGAGUAAUAGAUGGUGAACGAUUAAUGAGAUAACAAGCAGUGGAAGCGGCCUCAUCCCAAAAACGCCUAUGCAAACCUGCAUUGGACAACAUGCAACGGGCUCUGGAAAUAAUUGUCCUGUUCAUACGCUCAGCAACACCGUUUUGUUGAGGAGUAUAAGGAACGGUGUAAUGUCUGACAAUGCCUUUAGACGUGCAAUAAUUCUUAAAUUGCUUAGAACAGAAUUCCAUACCAUUAUCAGUGCGAAGUAUCUUUACCUUCUUUUCAGUUUGUCUUUCAAUCAUAAUCUUCCACUCCUUAAAUGCUGAGAAUGCUUCAUAUUUAUGCUUCAAGAAAUAAGGCCAAACUUUUCUCGAAUAAUCAUCAAUAAUAGUCAGCAUGUAACUAGCACCACCUAGUGACUUCUUGCGAGAUGGUCCCCAUAAAUCAGAAUGCACAUAAUCAAGAAUACCUUCGGUUGUAUGAGUCGAAGUGUUGAACUUCACCCUCUUGUGCUUGCCGAAGAUACAAUGCUCAUAAAAUUUUAAUUUACCAGGUUCAUAUCCAUCAAGAAGACCUCUCUUAUUUAACUCUACCAAUCCAAGUUCACUCAUAUGUCCAAGACGCAUAUGCCAAAGGUUAGCAGCAUCACAAUCAGAAUUCUUUGAAAUAGCUGGAGUAGCGUUACCUGAAACGGUAGAACCUCGAAGGUAAUAAAGACCAUUGGUCGAACUUAAGUCACCUUUCAUCACAACAAGGGAGCCUUUGGUGACCUUCAAAACACUAUCUCCACCUGAAUACUUGUACCCCUUUGCAUCAAGGGCGCUAACAGAGAUAAGAUUUCUCUUCAUCUUCGGAAUGUACCGAACAUCUGUCAAAGUUCUGAUUAUGCCAUCAAACAUCUUGAUUCGAAUAGAACCUAUGCCUUCAAUCUUGCAUGGUGAAUUAUCAAAACCCAAAACGGAACCAGCAGAAGUAGUGGAAUCAAAAGUAUUAAACCAAUCUCUAUGUGGACACAUAUGAAAAGUACAUGUAGUAUCAAGUACCCACUCAUCAUUUGUCUUAGCACAUCCAUCAAUAACGACAAGAGCAUCAUCGGAACUAUCAUCCAGAGCAACGUUAGCAGAAUUUUCACCUUGUUUGUUACCUUUCCUCUUUUCUUUAUUCUGCAACUUGAAACACUCUGAGAUGUCAUGCCCGUCUCUCUUGCAAUACCUGCAAUAUUUCUUGUCUCUGGAUUGCGACCGGCCCCUGUAGCCGUUUUUACUUUUGCCUCUGUUUCCAUUAUUGGAGUUCUUCUCCUUUGUCCUGCCACGAACAGAUAAUCCCUCGGCUUGGGAUGAACUCGAACCAUCAUGAGGCACCAUUUAUUUCAUCUUCUCCUUAGAGUUCAAAGCUUCAUAAACUUCAUUAAGUGUGAGAGUAUCACGACUGUAUAAUAUGGUGUCUCUAAAAUUGGUAUAAGAACUUGGCAGUGAACAAAGUAACAUUAAAGAAGUAUCUUCCUCUUCAUACUUAACCUCCAUUGCAGCUAGAUCGGAUAUAAUCUCCUUAAAUUCUGAAAUAUGAUUCAAAACAUUACCUCCCUCGGGUAACCUGUGCAGGAAUAAUUUUUGCUUCAGAUGCAUCUUGCUGGUGAGAUCUUUAGUCAUGCAAAUCCCUUCCAGCUUUAACCAUAGAGCGGCGGCAGUUUUCUCACUCAAAACUUCCUGCAAAAUAUUAUUAUGCAAAUGGAGUUGAAUUUGUGACAAAGCCUUACAAUAAAUUCUUUUCUCCUCAGCAGUCCAGUCCUCAAUUCGGUUCUUCCCAAAACUAUCCAGUGCUACAUCAUAGUCGACCUGUGCCAACAACGCCCGCAUCUUGACUUGCCAUAGGGUAACCCUUAUGUCACGAUCCAGCAGCGGAAAAUCGUACUUCAUGGAUGCCAUAAGUAGAUAAAUCUGUGCACAAAGUAGUACAAGUCGAAAGAAAAAUUCUUGACAGAAUUUAAAUUACGCGGAGCAAAGAACUAGGAACAGUAGUACCUGGUAGCUCAGGUAAUUGAAGACCAAAAGCUUGAUUUGUAGCUUGACGUGACGAAUAGUACUAGUAGUCAAAUCACGUAGUGGAUCAGAUGUGAAUUAAACUACUGCUUUGCUUCUGACCGGCGAGCAGUAGUACUACUAGCUUUUGCUUCGGUUGAUGAUGUGAGAAGUCGAUUGAAUCUGGAGCUGCGUCAACUCGCCGGAUGACUCGGUACUUGUAGCCUGUACGAAGAUCAGCAGCCUCGGGUGCUAGCGACGACCGGUCAAAUCGACUUUGUGUCAAUCUCGGUUACGACCGCGCACACGAGGAAAAUCCUGUCGGUCUCGGUCAUGGAAAUCGAUCUAACGGAUCGACGAAUUGUCAGAGACGUAUGCGGCGGCGCAAACGAUGUAACCCUAAUCUCUCGUCUCAAAUCUCGUAUCUGAAACUUGGCUCUGUAUACCACCUGUUAGAUAAUAACGAGAAUAAACGAGACAGAGAGACACGGAUUUUUACGUGGAAAUCCUUGCGGGAGAAAACCACGGACGCACGAAGGCGCAAUCACUAUGAGGAGGAGUAUUACAAGCACGAGAUGACAGACCGUCUGAGGUGCGACUACAUGGGGUAUAUAUGAGGGACAACACAUAGGAGUCCUUGUAGGACAAGUAAACGAGUUGUACUCAUACAUGUCGGUACCAACGCAAAAGGCCCACAUCGUAUGUACUACGUCUAGUCCAAUACAGUACUAGAAUUUGGAUCACAAUUUAACAGAACAAGAUUUAUUGCCUCAACCAGUGUAUUGUGAUGACCAACACCUAAAUAACUUGUCGAUGUUCCCGAGUUACAUAUGCUCUAAUAACCCUAUGAUACCCGAUUCAUGGUUUCAAAUAACAGAUGUUCCAUCAAUCGUGGUACAAAAUACAAAAUAUAUCAACCCGUCAACCAGUGAAUAUAAUAUUCUCCCAGAAAAUAAAAUAGUUGUAGAAGCAAGGUGUAAUUUAAAUCUUUACCAAUAAGGCAAUACAAGUUACAGGCCAAACAGAGCAUAAAAGGUUCGAACUAGAGCAAGCAGGAGAACUCGACAUCUUUGACCUGAACAUCAUAAAUCACAAAUCCAGAAUAAAUGGUUAACCCAAAGUUUUUCUUCUCAUGACUCUGAAGGAGGUCCACGUGUUGUUAUCUACACAAUAAAAAUUACUGGCCCAAGCUUGAAGUCUAACCAGAAUAAUUUGCUAAUGGAAUUAAAUCAUAUCCGAUUCCUUUGAGGAUGAGAUGCAAAUGAAGGCUGACACAUGAUUGAUAAAUUCGUACAAAUAUUUUUAGUCCCGCGAAGUAAACAUGAUGAACUAAGGUUUAAUUAAUCAUGUAAUUAUAUAAGAAGAAUCAUUAUUAUUCAUUGUUCACUUUGAGUGCAUCAGAAUCAGCCAUACAGCAAACUGGAUGGUGAUUUGUCAAAUAAGAGCUUCUUGGGUAAAUAAGAUAGAACAACAUCCGCUUGAUACUUCUGUAAACUACACAUCAAUUUGACGGUCUGAUCUAUAAUGCUUCAUGAAACAAUCAAUCUAGAAGCUCAAAAUACCCCUGAAAACGCUAAGAAAAUCAGAAAGAAACAUCAUAGGUCUAUUUACUUACUCUGGUGAGAGGCCAUGUACAAAAGAAAUCACAAUUAGCAAGAAAGGAGCUUGCCAUCAGCUGCGAAGAAAAAACAUAAAAAAGUAAGUGUCUGUGUGGUCUUUAUGCCUUCGAGGAUUUCCUCAGCAUCCUACAGAAAUUCAGAACAAUGAUUUGAGUGUUUGACACUAUUUGAUAGCGAUAAUAACUGGAAUUUGAGCAUGAUGACAACAACAUGUACAGCAAUACCUUGAGUUAAACCAAUAAUUUUUCACACAUACACACUUGCAUUUUCCUCUGCUCCUCUGAUAUCUUCUGUUAGUGCACCUUGGGUCUGCAGUAACCACCAACUUCAUCUAUAAAAGUAUUGUACAGAUGUAGCCAUAUUAGUAGAUCAUACAUGGUAAGAAGUAAACAAUACAAUAUUCUUGAUACCGAUUUAGCUAUGCAAAGCAUGACUAUAAAUUGCAAUGAGGUAAGUCUAAAUAAGAUGCACACCAAAGAGAUAAGAGAACUUACAUGGGCAUCGAAACAAUAUGAUCUUUGUACAAAUAUAUGCUUGUUGUCUUUAAAAAGAUAACUCCGCCUAUGUUGUCUCAACAUAGCCGGUCCCAAGCCCGGGUAAAGGAGGAGGGUUGUGAUAGGCUUGCCGAGCCAACAUAAAAACUCAGCCACUCUUAUGGAGAUGAAACCCAAAAGAUUUUCAUUGGGGCGUAACCCUCUCAACGACGCGCUACAUCGGAACCCGGGUGUGGUGGAAAAUGGGCAAGGGCCGGGCCGUCACUGCAAAGGUGGCGCGAUGUAUCUUGAUCCGGAUACGGUGGCAAGUGAGCGAGGAUCGGGUCGUCGCAUCUUUAGUGGUGCGCUACAUCGGCGCCCGGAUGUAGUGGAAAAUGGGCAAGGGUCUUCGCAUUUUGACUCGACGAGUGCGAAGGGUAAGGAAGCUAGCCGAGCCUAGGAGGAUUCUCUUAGGUAGCUGGAACGUAGGGUCUCUGACAGGGAAGCUUUGGGAGCUAGUUGAUGCAGCGGUGAGGAGAGGUGUUGAUAUCCUUUGCGUCCAAGAAACCAAAUGGAGAGGACAGAAGGCGAAGGGGGUGGAGGAUACCGGCUUCAAGCUGUGGUACACAGGGACGGCUGGAAACAGAAAUGGCGUAGGCAUCUUGAUCAACAAGAGCCUCAAGUAUGGAGUGGUAGACGUCAAGAGACAUGGGGACCGGAUUAUCCUGGUCAAGCUGGUAGUUGAGGACUUGGUUCUCAAUGUUAUCAGCACGUAUGCCCCGCAAGUAGGCCACAAUGAGAACACCAAGAGGGAGUUCUGGGAAGGCCUGGAAGACAUGGUUAGGAGUGUACCGAUUGGUGAGAAGCUCUUCAUAGGAGGAGACCUCAAUGGCCACGUGGGUACAUCUAACACAGGUUUUGAAGGGGCGCACGAGGGCUUUGGCUAUGGCAUCAGGAAUCAAGAAGGAGAAGAUGUCUUAAGCUUUGCUCUAUCCUACAACAUGAUUGUAGCUAACACCCUCUUUAGAAAGAGAGAAUCACAUCUGGUGACUUUUAGUAGUGGCCAACACUCUAGCUAGAUUGAUUUCAUCCUCUCGAGAAGAGAAGAUAGGCGUGCGUGCCUAGACUAUAAGGUGAUACCUAGAGAGAGUGUUGUACCCCAGCAUAAGCUGGUGGUUGCUGACUUCCGUUUUCGGAUUCGUGUCCAGCGGGAUAAGCGUGCCAAAGUCGCUAGAACGAAGUGGUGGAAGCUCAAGGGGAAGGUAGCUCUAGCGUUCAAGGAGAGGGUCAUUAAGGAGGGCCCUUGGGAGGAAGGAGGAGAUGCGAACAAUGUGUGGACGAAGAUGGCGACUUGCAUUCGUAAGGUGGCCUCAGAGGAGCUUGGAGUGUCCAGGGGAAGGAGAAGCGAAGAUAAGGAUACCUGGUGAUGGAAUGAUGAUGUCCAGAAGGCGAUUAAAGAGAAGAAAGAUUGCUUCAAACGCCUAUACCUGGAUAGGAGUGCAGACAACAUAGAGAAGUACAAGACGGCGAAGAAGGCCGCAAAGCGAGCUAUUGGUGAAGCAAGGGGUUGGGCAUAUGAGGACCUCUACCAAUGGUUAGGCACGAAGGAAGGUGAAACCGACAUCUAUAAGAUGGCCAAGAUCCGAGAGAGGAAGACGAGGGAUAUUGGCCAAGUCAAAUGCAUCAAGGACGGAGCAGGCCAACUCUUGGUGAUGGACGAGGAGAUUAAGCAUAGAUGGCGGGAGUACUUCGACAAGCUAUUCAAUGGGGAGAAUGAGAGUUCUACCAUUGAACUGGAUGACUCCUUUGAUGAGACCAGCAUGCAUUUUUGUGGUGAAUCCAGGAGUCUGAGGUCAAGGAGGCUUUAAAAAGGAUGAAAGGAGGCAAGGCGAUGGGCCCUGAUUGUAUCCCCAUUGAGGUGUGGAAAGGUCUCAGGGACAUAGCGAUAGUAUGGCUAACCAAGCUUUUCAACCUCAUUUUUCGGGCAAACAAGAUGCUAGAAGAAUGGAAACGGAGUAUAUUAGUACCAAUCUUCAAGAACAAGGGGGAUGUUCAAAGUUGUACUAAUUACCGUGGAAUUAAGUUGAUGAGCCAUACAAUGAAGCUAUGGGAGAGAGUCAUUGAGCACCGCUUAAGAAGAAUGACAAGCGUGACCAAAAAUCAGUUUGGUUUCAUGCCUGGGAGGUCGACCAUGGAAGCCAUUUUCUUGGUACGACAACUUAUGGAGAGAUAUAGGGAGCAAAAGAAGGACUUACAUAUGGUGUUCAUUGACUUGGAGAAGGCCUAUGAUAAGAUACCACGGAAUGUCAUGUGGUGGGCCUUGGAGAAACACAAAGUCCCAGCAAAGUACAUUACCCUCAUCAAGGACAUGUACGAUAAUGUUGUGACAAGUGUUUGAACAAGUGAUGUCGACACUGAUGACUUCCCGAUUAAGAUAGGACUGCAUCAGGGGUUAGCUUUGAGCCCUUAUCUUUUUGCAUUGGUGAUGGAUGAGGUCACAAGGGAUAUACAAGGAGAUAUCCCAUGGUUUAUGCUCUUUGUGGAUGAUGUGGUGCUAGUUGACGAUAGUCGGACGGGGGUAAAUAGGAAGUUAGAGUUAUCGAGACAAACCUUGGAAUCGAAAGGGUUUAGGCUUAGUAGAACUAAAACCGAGUACAUGAUGUGCGGUUUCAGUACUACUAGGUGUGAGGAGGAGGUUAGCCUUGAUGGCCAGGUGGUACCUCAGAAGGACCCCUUUCGGUAUUUGGGGUCAAUGCUGCAGGAGGAUGGGGGUAUUGAUGAAGAUGUGAACCAUCGAAUCAAAGCCGGAUGGAUGAAGUGGCGCCAAGCUUUUGGCAUUUUGUGUGACAAGAGAGUGCCACAAAAGCUAAAAGGCAAGUUCUACAGGACGGCGGUUCGACCCGCAAUGUUGUAUGGCGCUGAGUGUUGGCCGACUAAAAGGCGACAUGUUCAACAGUUAGGUGUGGCGGAGAUGUGUAUGUUGAGAUGGAUGUGUGGCCACACGAGGAAGGAUCGAGUCCGGAAUGAUGAUAUACGAUAUAGAGUUGGGGUAGCACCAAUUGAAGAGAAGCUUGUCCAACAUCGUCUGAGAUGGUUUGGGCAUAUUCAGCGCAGGCCUCCAGAAGCUCCGGUGCAUAGUGGACGGCUAACGCGUGCGCAGAAUGUCAAGAGAGGGCGGGGUAGACCGAAUUUUACAUGGGAGGAGUCCGUUAAGAGAGACCUGAAGGAUUGGAGUAUCACCAAAGAGCUAGCUAUGGACAGGGGUGCGUGGAAGCUUGCUAUCCAUGUGCCAGAGCCAUGAGUUGGUUGCGAGAUCUUAUGGGUUUCACCUCUAGCCUACCACAACUUGUUUGGGACUAAAGGCUUUGUUGUUGUUGUUGUUGUUGUUGUUGUUGUUGUUGUUGUUGUUGUUGUUGUGUCUUUAAACAGAUCCUUUGAACAAUCUAUUCAUUAGAACACAGCAGG